GGGUGAUUCUGAUAACUUUGAAUAAUUAGUUCCCAGGUCAGCUCUGGGAUCCAUGGUCAUUUCACGGACUCGUGGAGUUUAUAUUGGGAAGGGACCUGAGGGGUUUUCUAGCUAGUCUUUUCAUUUUACAGUUGGGGAAACAAGCCCAGACAAAGGAAAUGGCUUGCCCAGGAUUGCAUGGAUUUCUUUCAUCUUUGCUGUAUCUCAGAGCCCCUGGCUCCUUCAGCUGCCUUGUCUGAGUCUCCUGGCACUCCAGCUUCCUCAGGCUUCCCCAUCGUACCAUCGGCAGUACUAUAGCUCUUGAAUGUCUUUCACAUGUCAAAGGGGAGCAGUGCAUUAAAACGACAGAGAUGGACUAAAGCUUCUGGGUCAGAGUGAGAAACGUCCCUCCUUCUGUUUCUGUUGAAUCCCUGCACCUGACUGUGGGCCCCACUGUCUCUCUGGUCCUUGAGGAUCCUCUUUCUCUGCCCUCUGUCCUGGCUCUUUUCCUUCCACCACACCUUACUUAUGGCUUUAUCAUGCUCCCUCUGUCCUAGCACCCUUCGGCUACCACAGCUGCUCUUUCUACUUCCUUACCUCCCCUCCGCUGCUCAACAAAGACACUGCAACUGGCUUCCUUCCUACUGCUCCACUGAAAUAGCUUUCGCCAAGGUUCCCAAUGAGCUCUGGGUUGCUAAACCCAGCAAAUCUAUUUUUUUUUUUUAAAACCAAAUUGCUUCUUUUCCCCCCAAGACAAACAGAUUGGAAGAAGCGUUCGCAUGCCUCUCCCACUUGAAAGGACAGAAUAGUGUGUAGAGAUUCACACUAUAAUUUUUUUUCUCUAAGAAUGAAUGCAGGAACUGAACAGGAAAACUGAAAGAAUCCACAGAACUUUUGAAAGAAGUGGCAGCUGCAGCCUACUCUGUGAGACAGGCAAAAAACUCACCUCUAGGCAGAAUAGCACUGCACCCAGGAAGGAGAAAACAGCUGCAUAUUCUCAGCUCUCACCGUUGCUUACAACACCCUGGCUAACCAGAAGUCCUGCGUCCGCCCACGUGAUAACAUCACUAUAAUUAUAACCAGCAUUUGAGAAAGUCAGCACGCCAAGCCUUUCGAAUCUUGCAGAGUUUACAUCACUCCCCUUCCACGUCUAUCAGAGGUGGUGCUGGUAUUCACUGCUGGGAGUCUUAAAGACAGGUCACAUCACUGGAUCCCUUGCAGACAUUCCCCAGCACCAGCCCAGAGUCUGGUAGGCCCACUGGGGGGAUAGACCCAGAAGAGCACUGUAGUCUGGCUCUCAGGAAGUCCCAUUCCUAGAGAAAGGGGAAGAACAUCACAUUAAGGGAACACCCUGUGGGACAAAAUAAUCUGAACGGCAGGUCUUGAGUGCCAGAUCUUUUCACUGGUGUGAAGUUUCCUAUAGCGGAGACACAAUUGCUGUGCUGUGCUGGGCAGAGUAGGGAAAGUUUGCACCUCUACUCAACAGGCAGGCAGCCUCUGGUAUUGUGAAGGGUCUUAGAGAAGGGGUCCUUUUUCCCCCUGGUACACCACUGCAGACAGAGCUGGGGCUUCUCCCAAAAGAAUGCAGCAUGGAUGCACCUACAGACAGCUUCCCUGAACCAAUCAGGGUGAUUGCAUCCCCACGGGAGGAGCACUCCCCAGAUUCAGGCUUGCAUGACAGUCAGUCACAAUUCCACUCUACUUGGAACAUCAACAUUUCUACAGAUGAAAAUAACUGCCUGUCUGAUCUGAAUAGCCAGAGGAGUGAAGUGGGGAGGUGGAUAGCUUUCCAGCUGGCCUUGUGGGGGACCUGAGGUAGCUCUUACCCUUCACCCUGACAAAACCUCAGCAUAUCUAAUUGAGAGGUCCCCCAGCCACUUUCAUCAAGGCUGGGAUCUCUGCCCACCUUUGGGUAUUACAUCUACCUACCUGCUUUAGCUACAACUGGUGCCUACCCAGGGAUACUUCCCCUACUGGUCCAAAGCCUGAAUCAUCAACUCAGUAAAUAAAAUACUGGGGAAAAAUUAAAUAAAUAAAUAAAGAGUACACUCAUAAAGAGAAUGAGGUAAGCUUAAAGAGAUUCCUGCCAUUCCAACCCCAUAGGAGACAGUAAACCUUCUCACACACCACGUACAUAACUACUACAACCAGGAUCUGGGAAAGCCAGCACACACUCUCUCACACUAAGGAACUCAUACAGAGUCUUCACUCCUAAAACCCAAAAGUCUUCACCCCUAAAAACCAAGGAUCAAAUUAGGCUAAAAUAAGCUAUAAACAUUAAAGUCAGAUCCUUAAGGGGAAAGAAAAACAAAUUAAAAAGAAAAAAAAAACAGUCGCUGGGCACGGUGGCUCAUGCCUGUAAUA